rnacentral:snoRNA from 1 species
GUGCAGGCUGAUCAGCGAGGCUGGGUCUGAUGUGUGACUCUGUUCUUUCCUGAAUGUCUGCUAGAGAGGCGUUGAGGUUGUUUGAGACCUGCCCGUGUUCCUCAUGGCACGGUUAUAGAAAACCUCAUACAAAU